GCCUGUUGUGAGUAUUUGAGGCAACACCAACCAAAGAAGAAAAAAAACAGCUCCUCUCAUUCAUUCUCAAGAGAAUGCCACUAAGUCCUCCUUUCUUCUGCCAGUCAGAAGAUUCAAUUGAACAAACUUGUCAGAUGAAGUUGAACAUUAGUCAUAUAUAUUAGGCCUCCACAAAAUCUCGUAACCUUUUCUGAGGGCCUUUCAGCAGAAUUUGGAGGUUGCCAUCAACCCUACGAUGGGACGCAGAGACAAGGGAGUAUUACAAUGCACGUCUGAGAAACUAAAAAACUUUGACGAUUCACUACUCAACUCUCCUAUCCAACCAUCUAUAUUUGACUAAAUGACAAUGACAUGAUCUUCUUUAUUUUAUGUAUCUAUUUUGGCCUGAACGAUGCUGGAUAUUCAGGGAUGGAGGCGGGGGUGGGAUUGGUUUGGAAUUUUGUUAAAACUGGAAGAGCAAAUAAGAACAAAACUCUCAGAUCAUCAUAAGGUUCAGUUUAUAAAUCCAUAUAACAGUAACCCUCCAGGAAGCUUUACUAGUUAGGAACAAAUUUUAGACCAAGUUUGCCAUGUAGAUCAGAUUUCGUGCUUCUAAUCAACAGCAUUUGUGAGCAGUCAAAAUCAUCUUUGGCCUCAAUUUUUGCUAGCCUUUCAAACUUUUACUGUGUGAAAAAAAUUCUACAGCUCCAUAGAUGCUACAGCU
rnacentral:misc_RNA from 1 species